rnacentral:lncRNA from 1 species
UUUUUUUUUAACUGGCUUUCAUAUUGAAAUAAAGAAAAAAGUACAGAGAUUACAAAUAAGAAACAAAAGGAAAAAAAAAUACAACUUGAAACUAAAAGGAAAACAUGACAACACAAUCCGAAUAUAUUCAACCCGAGAUGGGGAUAACAGUGGCUCACAAGUAAUAAGCAAGUAAAAUAGGUACGACAUACAACGGCAGCUUUUAGAUGGUUUGACUACACAGGCAAGUAGCGUUAGCAAACUCCGGGUCUUACAUCCUAUUCACCAACCAAUUGCUGUUAAUCCAAAGAGGAGCCGGAGCAUCCUGACUUGCUUCCAAACAAGUACUACCACUGACAAUUAAGCGCAGGGAAGGUGAGGAGCAACAAACCUGUACGCACUCAACACCAAACGCCGAAAGAACGGGAUGAAAAGGAGGCAGCUAGAUCAAAGAAACCACGGGACCUGCACUGAAAGGAAAAGGACCAAAUCUGCCGCGGUAAAUCAAAAGAACCACCACGGCACUGGGAUGAGAUAGCCCUAAUCAUGCCGCCACAGAGGUGAAAACCGAGCUCCAUGACCACGAACCCGUGAACGCCUCCCAUGAUACUUCUCUUAGAACAAGAGGGAGUUUCCUUUCUUGAUAAAAUGGAACAAAUGAGACAGAACAAAUGCCCAGGAAAAUGAAGAACCAAGCCCCGCAAACCCUGAAACCCGGAAUGAUCAGAACCGGGAUACGAGCUUUCCAAACACCAUCGCCAUGAACCGAAGAGGACAAAGACAGGAGAAGCUUGACCAGACAGCCGACGCCUGAGUACCAGACACCUCCACGCGCUUAAACCGUCCUUUAAGCUACACGCGCCGCCGGGAGAAAACCCUUGGCACCGCCAAGAAACUUCAAAACCGUCGCGCGUCGAGUGAGCAUAGCCCACAACGUCCUACUUGGGCAUGAACGGGAUUAGCUGUCGCCGAGACACCAAGGCAGAAAACUAAAACUCUGGAUCACCACCCCUCACCGACACAGACCAAAAGAACCAGAUCUAUGCAGAUUGAGCCCACUCCAAGACUCACGCGCCUCCAGAACCGGUAGGGAAAUG